ACGAACGCUGGCGGCAUGCCUAACACAUGCAAGUCGAACGAGACCUUCGGGUCUAGUGGCGCACGGGUGCGUAACGCGUGGGAAUCUGCCCUUGGGUUCGGAAUAACUCGCCGAAAGGCGUGCUAAUACCGGAUGAUGACGUAAGUCCAAAGAUUUAUCGCCCAAGGAUGAGCCCGCGUUGGAUUAGCUAGUUGGUGAGGUAAAGGCUCACCAAGGCGACGAUCUAUAGCUGGUCUGAGAGGAUGAUCAGCCACACUGGGACUGAGACACGGCCCAGACUCCUACGGGAGGCAGCAGUGGGGAAUAUUGGACAAUGGGCGAAAGCCUGAUCCAGCAAUGCCGCGUGAGUGAUGAAGGCCUUAGGGUUGUAAAGCUCUUUUACCCGGGAUGAUAAUGACCGUACCGGGAGAAUAAGCUCCGGCUAACUCCGUG
rnacentral:rRNA from 1 species